rnacentral:rRNA from 1 species
UGGGGAAUAUUGCGCAAUGGGCGAAAGCCUGACGCAGCAACGCCGCGUGAGUGAUGAAGGCCUUCGGGUUGUAAAGCUCUUUCGGCUGGGAAGAAGGGUCUUUGGGUGAAUAGCCCUGAGAUUUGAUGGUACCAGAAGAAGAAGCACCGGCUAACUUCGUGCCAGCAGCCGCGGUAAUACGAAGGGUGCGAGCGUUGUUCGGAAUUACUGGGCGUAAAGGGUUCGUAGGCGGGAGGAUAAGUUGAGUGUGAAAACCCCGGGCUUAACCUGGGACCUGCAUUCAAAACUGUCCUUCUUGAGUAUCGGAGAGGGUUGUGGAAUUGCUGGUGUAGGAGUGAAAUCCGUAGAGAUCAGCAGGAACACCUGAGGCGAAAGCGACAACCUGGUCGAAUACUGACGC